rnacentral:lncRNA from 1 species
GUUUGUGCUUCUUCAGUCUGUGCUGGUAAUGGAUUGCUUCUCCAUUCAAAUUGAUGAAAAGCCUUGGCUCUAGCAAAGCUUUAAUUAUCAUCACACUUUCCCUGAGGAAGAGAGAAAGAGAGAGAGAGAAUCUGAAGCAGACUCUUCACUGAGCAUGGAGCCCAACGCAGCGCUCGAUCUCAUGACCUGAGCCAAAAUCAAGAGUCAGAUGCUUAACCACCUG